rnacentral:rRNA from 1 species
GACGAACGCUGGCGGCGUGCUUAACACAUGCAAGUCGAACGAGUGGCGGACGGGUGAGUAAUGUCUGGGAAACUGCCCGAUGGAGGGGGAUAACUACUGGAAACGGUAGCUAAUACCGCAUACCCUCGGAUGUGCCCAGAUGGGAUUAUCUCGUAGGUGUGGUAACGGCUCACCUAGGCGACGAUCCCUAGCUGGUCUGAGAGGAUGACCAGCCACACUGGAACUGAGACACGGUCCAGACUCCUACGGGAGGCAGCAGUGGGGAAUAUUGCACAAGGGGCGCAAGCCUGAUGCAGCCAUGCCGCGUGUAUGAAGAAGGCCUUCGGGUUGUAAAGUACUUUCAGCGAGGAGGCGUUACGCGCAGAAGAAGCACCGGCUAACUCCGUGCCAGCAGCCGCGGUAAUUC